rnacentral:misc_RNA from 1 species
AGCAGCCGCGGUAAUUCCAGCUCCAAUAGCGUAUAUUAAAGCUGUUGCAGUUAAAAGCUCGUAGUUGAAUUUCGGGAUCAAUGCGUCGGUCGUGCCUUCGGUACGUACUAGCGUCAUUGAUUCCUCCCUUCUGAAGAACCGUGAUGUCAUUAAUUUGGUGUUACGGGGAUUCAGGACUGUUACCUUGAAAAAUUAGAGUGUUUAAAGCAGGCUAACGCUUGAAUACAUCAGCAUGGAAUAAUGAAAUAGGACGUUCGAACCUAUUUUGUUGGUUUCUAGGAUCGACGUAAUGAUUAAUAGGGAUAGUUGGGGGCAUUAGUAUUCAAUUGUCAGAGGUGAAAUUCUUGGAUUUAUUGAAGACUACUACUGCGAAAGC